UACGUAGGGUGCAAGCGUUAAUCGGAAUUACUGGGCGUAAAGCGUGCGCAGGCGGUUGUGCAAGUCCGAUGUGAAAUCCCCGGGCUUAACCUGGGAAUGGCAUUGGUGACUGCACGGCUAGAGUGUGUCAGAGGGGGGUAGAAUUCCACGUGUAGCAGUGAAAUGCGUAGAGAUGUGGAGGAAUACCGAUGGCGAAGGCAGCCCCCUGGGAUAAUACUGACGCUCAUGCACGAAAGCGUGGGGAGCAAACAGG
rnacentral:rRNA from 1 species